rnacentral:rRNA from 1 species
ACGAACGCUGGCGGCGUGCUUAACACAUGCAAGUCGAACGAAGCAUUUAAGACAGAUUCUUUCGGGAUGAAGACUUAUCUGACUGAGUGGCGGACGGGUGAGUAACGCGUGGGUAACCUACCCUGUACAGGGGGAUAACAGUUAGAAAUGACUGCUAAUACCGCAUAAUGUACUAUAGGGGCAUCCCUUAAGUACCAAAGCUUUAUGUGCUGUGAGAUGGACUCGCGUCCGAUUAGAUAGUUGGUGGGGUAACGGCCUACCAAGUCGACGAUCGGUAGCCGGACUGAGAGGUUGAACGGCCACAUUGGGACUGAGACACGGCCCAGACUCCUACGGGAGGCAGCAGUGGGGGAUAUUGCACAAUGGGCGCAAGCCUGAUGCAGCGACGCCGCGUGUGGGAUGACGGUCUUCGGAUUGUAAACCACUGGCUUUGGGGACGAUAAUGACGGUACCCAAGGAGGAAGCUCCGGCUAACUACGUG